UACGAGGGGGCAAGCGUUGUUCGGAAUUAUUGGGCGUAAAGGGCGCGUAGGCGGUGCGGUAAGUCACCUGUGAAACCUCUAGGCUUAACCUAGAGCCUGCAGGCGAAACUGCCGUGCUUGAGGGUGGGAGAGGUGCGUUGGAAUUCCCAGUGUAGCGGUGAAAUGCGUAGAUAUUGGGAAGAACACCUGAGGCGAAGGCGGGUUGCUGGGCCGACACUGACGCUGAGGAGCGAAAGCGUGGGGAGCGAACGAGGAAG
rnacentral:rRNA from 1 species